CGUUCCCGGGUCUUGUACACACCGCCCGUCACACCAUGGGAGCGGGUUUUACCAGAAGUAGGUAGCUUAACCGCAAGGAGGGCGCUUACCACGGUAGGAUUCGUGACGUGGGGUGAAGUCGUAACAACGGUACC
rnacentral:rRNA from 1 species